rnacentral:rRNA from 1 species
GAUGAACGCUGGCGGCGUGCCUAAUACAUGCAAGUCGAGCGAAUGGAUUAAGAGCUUGCUCCUAUGAAGUUAGCGGCGGACGGGUGAGUAACACGUGGGUAACCUGCCCAUAAGACUGGGAUAACUCCGGGAAACCGGGGCUAAUACCGGAUAACAUUAUUAACCGCAUGGCUCGAAAUUGAAAGGCGGCUUCGGCUGUCACUUAUGGAUGGACCCGCGUCGCAUUAGCUAGUGGGUGAGGUAACGGCUCACCAAGGCAACGAUGCGUAGCCGACCUGAGAGGGUGAUCGGCCACACUGGGACUGAGACACGGCCCAGACUCCUACGGGAGGCAGCAGUAGGGAAUCUUCCGCAAUGGACGAAAGUCUGACGGAGCAACGCCGCGUGAGUGAUGAAGGCUUUCGGGUCGUAAAACUCUGUUGUUAGGGAAGAACAAGUGCUAGUUGAAUAAGCUGGCACCUUGACGGUACCUAACCAGAAAGCCACGGCUAACUACGUGCCAGCAGCCGCGGUAA